UACGAAGGGGGCUAGCGUUGUCCGGAAUUAUUGGGCGUAAAGAGCUCGUAGGCGGUUCGUCACGUCGGCUGUGAAAUCCCGAGGCUCAACCUCGGGUCUGCAGUCGAUACGGGCGGACUUGAGUACUGCAGGGGAGACUGGAAUUCCUGGUGUAGCGGUGAAAUGCGCAGAUAUCAGGAGGAACACCGGUGGCGAAGGCGGGUCUCUGGGCCGAUACUGACGCUGAGGAGCGAAAGCGUGGGGAGCGAACAGG
rnacentral:rRNA from 1 species